ACAUGGAUGGCGGAGUGCUCUGAGGCGCCAGACUCAAGGUUUCACUUGCCUCGCGGUAGCGGCUGAGCAUUCUGGUACUCGUAAGGGUGCGUGGGUUCAAAUCCCAUUCCGUGCA